UACGUAGGGUGCGAGCGUUAAUCGGAAUUACUGGGCGUAAAGCGUGCGCAGGCGGUUUUGUAAGCCAGAUGUGAAAUCCCCGGGCUUAACCUGGGAAUGGCAUUUGGGACUGCAAGGCUGGAGUGCGGCAGAGGAGACUGGAAUUCCUGGUGUAGCAGUGAAAUGCGUAGAUAUCAGGAGGAAUACCGAUGGCGAAGGCAGGUCUCUGGGCCACUACUGACGCUGAGAAGCGAAAGCAUGGGGAGCGAACAGG
rnacentral:rRNA from 1 species